rnacentral:rRNA from 1 species
AUCAGGUAGGGCUACCCGCUGAACUUAAGCAUAUCAAUAAGCGGAGGAAAAGAAACUAACAAGGAUUCCCCUAGUAACGGCGAGUGAAGCGGGAAGAGCUCAAAUUUAAAAUCUGGCAGUCUACGAUUGUCCGAAUUGUAAUCUCGAGAAGUGUUUUCCGCGUUGGCCUGUGCACAAGUCCCUUGGAACAGGGCGUCAUAGAGGGUGAGAAUCCCGUCUGGGAUGGGUGGUCCCGCCCGUGUGAAGCUCCUUCGAAGAGUCGAGUUGUUUGGGAAUGCAGCUCAAAAUGGGAGGUAAAUUCCUUCUAAAGCUAAAUACUGGCGAGAGACCGAUAGCGAACAAGUACCGUGAGGGAAAGAUGAAAAGCACUUUGGAAAGAGAGUUAACAGUACGUGAAAUUGUUGGAAGGGAAACGCUUGAAGUCAGACUUGCUGUUCGG